AGGGGACGCCGAGUGCGAGGGCAUAUAGUCCUCGCUUUUCUGGGCUAUAGGGAGGUCCAAGAAUAAUGGCUGGGCAAGACCGGUGCCAGCCGUCGCGGUAAUACCGGCGGCCCGAGUGAUGNCCGAUUUUAUUGGNCCUAAAGCGUCCGUAGCCGGCCAGACAGGUCCGUCGGGAAAUCCACGCGNUUAAUGCGUGUAGGUCCGGCGGAAACCACCUGGCUUGGGGCCGGAAGACCCAGGGGGUACGUCCGGGGUAGGAGUGAAAUCCUGUAAUACCGGACGGACCGCCGGUGGCGAAAGCGCCCUGGGAGGACGGACCUGUCGGUGAGGGACGAAAGCCAAGGUCACGAACCGGAUUAGAUACCCGGGUAGUCUUGGCAGUAAACGAUGUCCGCUCGGUGUGGCGCAGGCUACGAGCCUACGCUGUUCCACAGCGAAGGCGCUAAGCGGACCGCCUGGGAAGUACGUCUGCAAGGAUGAAACUUAAAGGAAUUGGCGGG
rnacentral:rRNA from 1 species